GACGAACGCUGGCGGCGUGCUUAACACAUGCAAGUCGAGCGGAAAGGCCCUUUCGGGGGUACUCGAGCGGCGAACGGGUGAGUAACACGUGAGUAAUCUGCCCCUGGCUUUGGGAUAGCCACCGGAAACGGUGAUUAAUACCGGAUACGACCACUUCUCGCAUGGGAUGGUGGUGGAAAGUUUUUCGGCCAGGGAUGUGCUCGCGGCCUAUCAGCUUGAUGGUGAGGUAAUGGCCCACCAUGGCUUCGACGGGUAGCCGGCCUGAGAGGGUAACCGGUCACACUGGGACUGAGACACGGCCCAGACUCCUACGGGAGGCAGCAGUGGGGAAUAUUGGACAAUGGGCGGAAGCCUGAUCCAGCAACGCCGCGUGAGGGAUGACGGCCUUCGGGUUGUAAACCUCUUUCAGCAGGGACGAAGCGCAAGUGACGGUACCUGCAGAAGAAGCACCGGCCAACUACGUGCCAGCCGCCGCGGUAA
rnacentral:rRNA from 1 species